UACGUAGGGUCCGAGCGUUGUCCGGAUUUAUUGGGCGUAAAGAGCUCGUAGGCGGCUCAGUAAGUCGGAUGUGAAAACUCGGGGCUCAACCCCGAGACGCCAUCCGAUACUGCUGUGGCUUGAGUCUGGUAGGGGAGAACGGAAUUCCUGGUGUAGCGGUGAAAUGCGCAGAUAUCAGGAGGAACACCGGUGGCGAAGGCGGUUCUCUGGGCCAGUACUGACGCUGAGGAGCGAAAGCGUGGGUAGCAAACAGG
rnacentral:rRNA from 1 species